rnacentral:rRNA from 1 species
UUAUAUAUGUAGCAAUACAUAUAUAACUUAGUGGCAGACGGGUGAGUAACACGUAGGUAACCUACCCUCGAGCGGGGGGCAACUCAGGGAAACUUGGGCUAAUACCGCAUAAGACCACGGACUGGGAUGUUUGUGGGAAAAGGAGCAAUUCACUUGGGGAUGGGCCUGCGGCCUAUCAGGUAGUUGGUGGGGUAAAGGCCUACCAAGCCAGAGACGGGUAGCCGGUCUGAGAGGACGAACGGCCACACUGGAACUGAGACACGGUCCAGACUCCUACGGGAGGCAGCAGUGGGGAAUUUUGCACAAUGGGCGAAAGCCUGAUGCAGCGACGCCGCGUGUGUGAAGAAGGCCUGCGGG